rnacentral:lncRNA from 1 species
GCGAAGUGCAACAUUUGAACAUCAAUUAAGUAAUUCAUCACAUCUACAGGCCUAAGAAGAAAAAUCAUUUGAUCCUAUCAAGAUGCAGAAAAAUCACUUGAAAACUAUCCAACAUCCAUUCAUGAUUAAACUUUUUAAACUGGAAACUAGAAAUAGAAAUGACUACAUGCUACAUGACUACAGUAUAAAAAUAUGAAAUAAAAGAAUUAUAGAGUUAUUUAAUAAAGAAUUGUUUCCAAAGAAACCUACAGUUACAUCACACUUGAGGAUGGAAAAUUAGAUACAAGACAAGCAUAUCCCUCUUGUUCUUUUGUCAAUCUGUACUGGAAUUGCACGCUAAUCCAAUUAGGAAAUAAAGGGUAUACUGACUUGGAAGAAAGAAAUAAAACUGCUCAUAGAUGGCAUGGUUAUCUAUGUGGAAAACGUACAAGAACAAAUUCAUGGAACUUAAAAGAAAUUUUAACAGGGUUGAGAGAUACAAAAUGAAGAUAUAAAUCACUUUCCUAUAUAUCAACAAUGAAUAAGUUGAAUUCUAAACUGAAAAUACCCUCAAAAUAAAAUAAUUAUGUAUAAAUCUAAUAAAAAUGUAUAUAUCUAUAUAAUGAAAACUACAAAAUUCUGAUGAAAGGAGUCAAAGAAUAAAAUAAACAGAGCAAAAUUCCAUAUUCACAGAAAGGAAGAUUCAAUAUUGUCAAGAAGUCAGUUCUCCUCAUCUUGAUCUGUAGAUUCAAUGCACUCCCAAUCAAAAUCCCAGACAGUUAUUUUCUGGAUAUCAACAAAUCCAUUCUCAAGUUUAUAUGAAAAGAAAAAGGCCUAG